rnacentral:rRNA from 1 species
AGCGAACGCUGGCGGCAGGCCUAACACAUGCAAGUCGAACGAAGUCUUCGGACUUAGUGGCGGACGGGAGAGUAACACGUGGGAACGUGCCUUUAGGUUCGGAAUAACUCAGGGAAACUUGUGCUAAUACCGAAUCUGCCCUUCGGGGGAAAGAUUUAUCGCCUUUAGAGCGGCCCGCGUCAGAUUAGCUAGUUGGUGAGGUAAAGGAUGACCAAGGCGACGAUCAGUAGCUGGUCUGAGAGGAUGAUCAGCGACAUUGGGACUGAGACACGGCCCAAACUCCUACGGGAGGCAGCAGUGGGGAAUCUUGCGCAAUGGGCGAAAGCCUGACGCAGCCAUGCCGCGUGAAUGAUGAAGGUCUUAGGAUUGUAAAAUUCUUUCACCGGGGACGAUAAUGGCGGUACCCGGAGAAGAAGCCCCGGCUAACUUCGUGCCAGCCGCCGCCGUAAUAC